rnacentral:rRNA from 1 species
AUUGAACGCUGGCGGCAUGCCUAACACAUGCAAGUCGAGCGGAGUGGCGGACGGGCGAGUAAUGCCUAGGAAUCUGCCUUGUAGUGGGGGAUAGCGUCCGGAAACGGGACCUAAUAUCGUAUACUUUCAGAUGAGCCUAGGUCGUAUUAGCUAGUUGGUGGGGUAAAGGCCUACCAUGGCGACGAAGCGGAACUGGUCUGAGAGGCUGAUCAGUCACACUGGAACUGUGACACGGUCCAGAGUCCGACGGGAUGCAGCAGUGGGGAAUAGUGGGCAAUGGGCGAAAGCCUGAUACAGCCAUGCCGCGUGUGUGAAGAAGGGCUUCGGAUUGUAAAGCACUGUAAGUUGGGAGGCGUUACCAACAGAAGAAGCACCGGCUAACUUCGUGCCAGCAGCCGCGGUAAUAC